UGAGCCAUAAGGCUUGGGUCUCCUCUGCCUGCUAGAAGAUGAGCCCCCUGGCUGCCCACAUGUUGAGCUGACUCCGUGUCUCUGUCAUUCAUUUUCGUUUGUCCGGGGUCAGGGAGGAACAAAGUACCUGGUCUAGGUCCCGGAGCAAGGCCCACCUGGUGGCGCCCCAGUGCGGGGCCGGGGACCCAGGGUUGCCUACAGUUCACACUACUUAUUCUCCUUUUAAUAUCCACGUGAUCUGUAAAUCCUCCCUGUUAUAGGUAAUCCGUAUCCUGGAUUCUGGGGGAUUAUUUAAAGCAGUGGUGGUGAGUGGAUGGCACAUGUGCCACAGCGGACACGCAGAGCCCUCUCUGUCGUAUGUUCUGUCUGGCGUUCACAGUGGACAACUGGGAGUUCACAGUGGAUAACUGCAUGAGGAUCCAUCUUUCAGGAUUCUCCUUCACCAUUUGGGUGCCACUUCCCACUCCAUGUCACCUAGACACCUGGUCACCCACCUAGAGAUGUCAUUUUCCAGGGAUUGAACUUGGGACCUUGUGCUUGCAAGGCAGGCGCCGGAACCACUGAGCCAAAUCCCCGGCCCAGGAACUGGUAUUUUAAACAAGCAUCCCAAAGGAUUCCGAUGCAGUGGUCCCUCGACAUUCACCUGGCUACUUUAUGUCUUGCUGAAGAUGAAAAACUUGCUCUGGCUGAAAUUCUCCUUUUAUCCUUUCUACCAGUAAGUGUCUCUUAGAGAAACUGGGACACUUUCACUAUGGCUCUUCCCUGCAUUCCUGGGGGUGAAGCAGCCACCACAGGAAGCAAAACAGCAAGAGAGAGGCUGAUUCAGCACAUACUGAGGCGCAGCCACAAGCCCAGGAGCUUCUUAGUGGCCUCCUGAUCUUAUCGAAGGACAUUGUCCUUUCCUGGAACCUCACUGCCUUCUGCAGUAUCUUUAUUUGUAUCGUAUCGUAAGGCUGUCCCACUCGCUUUGCACUGAGAAGUGUUGCUCUGAAACUAUUUACUGUGAAUAAACUUUCUUGGUAAUGCCA